UGAGACUACAAAGAUGCUACAGAAUACUGCAAGCUCUCUGGAGGUGCUGAAUGCAGUUGAAGACGGCACAGGCUUAUUUCACCUUCAUCCUCCUACGAGGGAAGGAUGCGUCCUUUAUGCAAGGAGGCUGGCACGACUCUCAGAUGCCACUCAGUUCCCUGGACACGUCUACUGCCAUGAGAUGUCUCAGCCAAGGAUUUUGAGCCAAGAUAUGAGGGAAAUGGUUUAACCAGAUGUGUGCCCAUGCCUGUGACACAGAACUUUGAGAUGCUGAUAUUUAAAAAGCUUGCCAUCUCCCUGCCUCCCCGCAGCAAGGGAAGACUGAAGAUGCUGAGCAUGGAAUCCAGUCUGUCUUCUAGCUCCCCAAGUUUAGCAAAAACAUCUACUGACUGAUCUUCUCCAGCUCUUUUCAAGCACUGGAAUUUCCAGAUGUGUGUGUGUUGCAGGGCAAUAGCAACCCCAGGAGAGGGUUUUUCAAAAGGGAGAUUGUGCUUUCUUACAACUGGCUCAGCUGCUGAGCUGAAGCAUAUGAACUCAGCCCUUGCUCCACAGCAGUUUCCAAGAGUGUUUAUCACUGAGACACAGCACAGCUACAGAGGGAAAAAACCCCAGACCAGUCACUGCUAUGGAGGCCAGGAAGGGAAAGAAGGAAGAUGUGUGGUGACCUGCAGGAGAGAAGAAACUGCAGAACUGAGCCAAAAGCAGUGCCCAGAGGAGUGCAGAGGGAAGCGAUUUUUGGUCCAAAUAGCAAACUUUGGAGUACUUUUGGUCCUCUAUGCCAGGUUCUGUAAUCCAAGUACUUCAAGAUGCUGGGAAGGAUGGGUGUUGGCUUCAGGUGCUGGAAGAAUGCAGUCUUAAUGAAAUGAAGACUGAGACACAGCAGCGUUACCAGGAGCACACGGGACACAGAGCAAAGGGGAAUGUGCAGAGGUGGAUGAAAGCAGCAUUACAUUUGCAGCCUAGAGGCUGGGCUCCCAGCUGGAUGCAACUAUUGCAUUAUUUGUGUUUUAGGUUGUUUGCUUCCUGCCACAAAGUAUCCCAAAAUCCUGAGUUGGGAGCUGAAGACUAUACAAGCACCCCAUGGAAGGAGUGAGGGACCUAAUGGCUCUGCUGAGAGCAGCUAGCAUCUCCUCUGGGAAGCCCUUCAGCUGGAUUCUCAAGGUGCAGCUUCCAGGGGGCUGCAGGAGGUGGCUCCUGCUGUGCAAGAACAGAACAAGACAAAGAACAAUGAUUUGCUAAGGCACAUGCACAGUUUUAGCUACUACGGAUUGAAGCCAGGUCACACUAAACCUGGUACACAGCAGGCUUUGCUCAAGUGAACACAAAAUCAAUUUGUUUAAACCUGGGCAACUUCGUAGUGCAUUCAGACAAACAAAACCCAGAGAGAUACACAGAAUUAAUGGUCAGUAACAGCUUUGGCAUUAGUAGAACUGUUGAAGAGUUAGCUUUAC